rnacentral:rRNA from 1 species
GACGAACGCUGGCGGCGUGCCUAAUACAUGCAAGUCGAGCGAAUCUUUAGAAGCUUGCUUCUGAAGAUUAGCGGCGGACGGGUGAGUAACACGUGGGCAACCUGCCUGUAAGACUGGGGUAACUUCGGGAAACCGGAGCUAAUACCGGAUAAUCCAUUCCCUCACAUGAGGGAAUGCUGAAAGACGGAAUUACGCUGUCACCUACAGAUGGGCCCGCGGCGCAUUAGCUAGUUGGUGAGGUAACGGCUCACCAAGGCGACGAUGCGUAGCCGACCUGAGAGGGUGAUCGGCCACACUGGGACUGAGACACGGCCCAGACUCCUACGGGAGGCAGCAGUAGGGAAUCUUCCGCAAUGGACGAAAGUCUGACGGAGCAACGCCGCGUGAGCGAAGAAGGCCUUCGGGUCGUAAAGCUCUGUUGUUAGGGAAGAACAAGUACCGGAGUAACUGCCGGCACCUUGACGGUACCUAACCAGAAAGCCACGGCUAACUACGUGCCAGCCGCCGCAGUAAUAC